GUCGAGCGAAUGGAUUACGAGCUUGCUCUUAUGAAGUUAGCGGCGGACGGGUGAGUAACACGUGGGUAACCUACCCAUAAGACUGGGAUAACUCCGGGAAACCGGGGCUAAUACCGGAUAAUAUUUUGAACUGCAUAGUUCGAAAUUGAAAGGCGGCUUCGGCUGUCACUUAUGGAUGGACCCGCGUCGCAUUAUCUAGUUGGUGAGGUAACGGCUCACCAAGGCGACGAUGCGUAGCCGACCUGAGAGGGUGAUCGGCCACACUGGGACUGAGACACGGCCCAGACUCCUAC
rnacentral:rRNA from 1 species